CCAAUAGCGUAUAUUAAAGUUGUUGCAGUUAAAAAGCUCGUAGUUGAAUUUCGGGACUAAUAUGUCGGUCGUACUUUGUACGUACUAGCAUUAUUGGUUUCUCCCUUCUGACGAACCACGAUGUCAUUAAUUUGGUGUCAUGGGAAAUCAGGACUGUUACUUUGAAAAAAUUAGAGUGUUUAAAGCAAGCUCGCGCUUGAAUACAUUAGCAUGGAAUAAUGAAAUAGGACGUUUGAUUCUAUUUUGUUGGUUUCUAGGAUCGACGUAAUGAUUAAUAGGGAUAGUUGGGGGCAUUAGUAUUCAAUUGUCAGAGGUGAAAUUCUUGGAUUUAUUGAAGACUAACUACUGCGAAAGCAUUUGCCAAGGAUGUUUUCAUUAAUCAAGAACGAAAGUUAGGGGAUCGAAGACGAUCAGAUACCGUCGUAGUCUUAACCAUAAACUAUGCCGACUAGGGAUCGGAUGAUGUUAAUUUUUUAAUGACUCAUUCGGCGCCUUAUG
rnacentral:rRNA from 1 species